UACGUAGGGGGCAAGCGUUGUCCGGAAUCAUUGGGCGUAAGAGCGUGUAGGCGGCCCGGUCAGUCCGCCGUGAAAGUCCAGGGCUCAACCCUGGAAUGCCGGUGGAUACUGCCGGGCUGGAGUCCGGAAGAGGCGAGUGGAAUUCCUGGUGGUAGCGGUGAAAUGCGCAGAUAUCAGGAGGAACACCGAUGGCGAAGGCAGCUCGCUGGGACGGUACUGACGCUGGAGACGCGAA
rnacentral:rRNA from 1 species